CAGAUAGCAUGCCAUGUCUAAGUAUAAGCAAUUAUACCGUGAAACUGCGAAUGGCUCAUUAAAUCAGUUAUCGUUUAUUUGAUAGUACCUUACUACUUGGAUAACCGUGGUAAUUCUAGAGCUAAUACAUGCUAAAAACCCCGACUUCGGAAGGGGUGUAUUUAUUAGAUAAAAAACCAAUGCCCUUCGGGGCUCUUUGGUGAUUCAUGAUAACUUAACGGAUCGCAUGGCCUUGCGCCGGCGACGGUUCAUUCAAAUUUCUGCCCUAUCAACUUUCGAUGGUACGGUCGUGGCCUACCAUGGUUUCAACGGGUAACGGGAGAUUAGGGUUUGACUCCGGAGAGGGAGCCUGAGAAACGGCUACCACAUCCAAGGAAGGCAGCAGGCGCGCAAAUUACCCAAUCCCGACACGGGGAGGUAGUGACAAUAAAUACUGAUACAGGGCUCUUUUGGGUCUUGUAAUCGGAAUGAGUACAAUUUAAACCCCUUAACGAGGAACAAUUGGAGGGCAAGUCUGGUGCCAGCAGCCGCGGUAAUUCCAGCUCCAAUAGCGUAUAUUAAAGUUGUUGCAGUUAAAAAGCUCGUAGUUGAACCUUGGGUCUGGCUGGCCGGUCCGCCUCACCGCGUGUACUGGUCCGGCCGGGCCUUUCCUUCUGGAGAACCUCAUGCCCUUCACUGGGUGUGUUGGGGAACCAGGACUUUUACUUUGAAAAAAUUAGAGUGUUCAAAGCAGGCCUUUGCUCGAAUACGUUAGCAUGGAAUAAUAGAAUAGGACGUGCGGUCCUAUUUUGUUGGUUUCUAGGACCGCCGUAAUGAUUAAUAGGGAUAGUCGGGGGCAUCAGUAUUCAAUUGUCAGAGGUGAAAUUCUUGGAUUUAUUGAAGACUAACUACUGCGAAAGCAUUUGCCAAGGAUGUUUUCAUUAAUCAGUGAACGAAAGUUAGGGGAUCGAAGACGAUCAGAUACCGUCGUAGUCUUAACCGUAAACUAUGCCGACUAGGGAUCGGGCGAUGUUUCUAUCUUGACUCGCUCGGCACCUUACGAGAAAUCAAAGUUUUGGUCUGGGG
rnacentral:rRNA from 1 species